rnacentral:rRNA from 1 species
AUUGCCUACGGGAGGCAGCAGUGAGGAAUAUUGGUCAAUGGGCGGGAGCCUGAACCAGCCAUGCCGCGUGAAGGCGAGUGCCCUACGGGCGUUAAACUUCUUUUGUGCGGGAGCAAUAAGGGCCACGUGUGGCCCGAUGAGAGUACCGCACGAAUAAGCAUCGGCUAACUCCGUGCCAGCAGCCGCGGUAAUACGUAUGGUGCAAGCGUUAUCCGGAUUUACUGGGUGUAAAGGGAGCGCAGGCGGCACGGCAAGCCUGAUGUGAAAGCCCGCGGCCCAACCGCGGGACUGCAUUGGGAACUACC